AUACACACACACACACACACACACACACACACACACACACACACACACACACACACACACACACACACACACACACACACACACACACACACACACAUACUGUAUGUUUGUCAUUUUAUGUUUCUUUCUUAUUCACAACAUUGCUUUAAAACCAUGGAUUCCAUUGAUACUAUUUUUGAUAAGGAAAUGCUCUCUUUUUUUCACACUAACCUGGUCUGCCUUAACAAAACAAACCUUAAGAACAAACAAACAAAACCAUAAUAACAAAAAAAACAUACAAUUUACCUCAUGUUUUACCUGCACCUUUAGUGGCAGUGUGAGAUAGGAUGACUCAGGAAUUCUAGAACCAGAACCCUGAUGAUCCUUACUUCAGGUAUUCUACAACCCUGAUAAUCCUUCAGGUAUUCUAGAACCCUGAUAAUCCUUCAGGUAUUCUAGAACCCUGAUAAUCCUUCAGGUAUUCUAGAACCCUGAUAAUCCUUCAGGUAUUCUAGAACCCUGAUAAUCCUUCAGGUAUUCUAGAACCCUGAUAAUCCUUCAGGUAUUCUAGAAUCCUGAUAAUCCUUCAGGUAUUCUAGAAGCCUGAUAAUCCUUCAGGUAUUCUAGAACCCUGAUAAUCCUUACUUCAGGUAUUCUAAGAAUUCCGAAGACAUGUCGGCACUUUGUGGUCUGAUGCUGAUGCAAUAUCUCCUCACCAUUUCAAACUACCUCCGAUUUCCACCGCAACAACCUGAAAACUCCAAGCUCAAGGAAUGCACACUUCCCUGCUACACAGUACUGCACAGUACCACACAGUACUAAAUAGUAGUACACAGUACUACACAGUACUACACAGUACUAAAUAGUACUACAUAGUACUACACAGUACUACAUAGUAUUACUACACACAACAACGCAUGGGAUGGCAGUGUGUGUGUGUGUGUCAACGAGCUAACUUGUUAUAAAAGUUGUUGUCUUGUGUCUCACAGUGGAACAGACAUGUUCUGUGUAAGUCUGACAGGUAAUUUACUGAAAUCAGGAGUUUUUUUUAUAUUUCCUAUGUAGAACUCAUAAGCAGCUAAUGGAAGAAGUACUGUGGUGUCUUUAUUUCACAUUAACAUUAGUGUUGUGUAUCUAUUUACAUUACCAUGAGUGUUGUGUAUCUAAGUCCUAACAAGACACCCACCUUUCCCUCUCCUCAACUGGGACUUCUGUUUGACAAACUGUUAACUUGAAUAUAUUUGUUUUUCUGAUUUACUCAAUGGUUUUUAUUAAGGAUCAAGUGCUUGUAUGACACUACACGAUAUUAUUGUUUUUUGUUUGUUUUUGCUCUGAAUUCUUUUAUUUUUUGUAAUUUUUUUCUGAACUAUGUACUAUUCAUAUACAUUUAUGUACCUCAAACAAACUGAUAAAAAUGGACUUAUAAUCGAUUGACAAAUACCUACCUCCAGUCUUGAAAAGGAAUGAUUUUUGCCGGGUUUCUUUCAUUCAGUAUGAGUUUUGAUAAUGUAUGAUGAAAUCUAUCGAUAUUAGGACUGCAAAAGAUCCCUUACUCAAAAGUAUUUUUGUAACAGUUUUCAAAACUUCUGAACCAAGAAAAAUGUUGACUUCACCCUGCGGAAGAAAUAGCCUUCAAAAAAUAAUCUUGAAGAUUUUCAGGUUUUGAAAAAUAUAUGUUUGGGUUUUGUAUAUUGUAUUCAUGGAUUUUUUUUUUUUUUAAUUAGUAGAUAUUGAUAUACUUGAUUAGAUAUUUUGUGUACUUUACGACACGUGAUUUUCUUUUUCUUGUUGUUAUGGUUCAACCAGAUGUAUAUGAAAAUGCUUCUUAAGUAGUGAUGGAUAACAACUUUUAAAUGUUAACAUGGUAUAUUCUCAUACGGGCCUGAGGUAGAGAGCCUCAGAGAGUUAGCCAAACAACCCAACAUGCCCUCUCCACUCACACAGGCCUGAGGUAGAGAGCCUCAGAGAGUUAGCCAAACAACCCAACAUGCCCUCUCCACUCACACAGGCCUGAGGUAGGGAGCCUCAGAGAGUUAGCCAAACAACCCAACAUGCCCUCUCCACUCACACAGGCCUGAGGUAGAGAGCCUCAGAGAGUUAGCCAAACAACCCAACAUGCCCUCUCCACUCACACAGGCCUGAGGUAGAGAGCCUCAGAGAGUUAGCCAAACAACCCAACAUGCCCUCUCCACUCACACAGGCCUGAGGUAGGGAGCCUCAGAGAGUUAGCCAAACAACCCAACAUGCCCUCUCCACUCACACAGGCCUGAGGUAGAGAGCCUCAGAGAGUUAGCCAAACAACCCAACAUGCCCUCUCCACUCACACAGGCCUGAGGUAGAGAGCCUCAGAGAGUUAGCCAAACAACCCAACAUGCCCUCUCCACUCACACAGGCCUGCAAGCUGCAAUUCAAACUUAACAUCAGUCAGUUUUAAGCUGCUUUCAUGUGCUCUCUGAAUUAUAUUGACUGGGGAAAAAUUACGGAAUAGGAAAGGUCCCGGAAUCGUGCUAACAACAACCGUUCAUUUUGAGUUUCCGAGUCAGAAAUACGUGUGGGCACAAACUUAGGGAACAUCAUUGUACCCAAAGUUUCACAGUCGUAUACUUCCGAGUUUCUCAGUCAGAGACUUCCGAGUUUCUCAGUCAGAGACUUCCGAGUGUCUCAGUCAGAAACUUCCGAGUUUCUCAGUCGAAUACUUCCGAGUUUCUCAGUCAAAUACUUCCGAGUUUCUCAGUAGGAGACUUCAGAGUUUCUCAGUCGGAGACUUCCGAGUUUCUCAGUCAGAAACUUCCGAGUUUCUCAGUCAGAGACUUCCGAGUUUCUCAGUCGAAUACUUCCAAGUUUCUCAGUCGAGUACUUCCGAGUUUCUCAGGCGGAUACUUCCAAGUUUCUCAGUCGAAUACUUCCGAGUUUCUCAGGCGGAUACUUCUGAGUUUCUCAGUCGGAGACUUCCGAGUUUCUCAGUCGGAGACUUCCGAGUUUCUCAGUCAGAUGCAGACUUCAGAGUUUCCUAUUUUCCGAGGAAGGCAGCAUUAGUUUCUUCACACACUAUUACUGUCCAGAAUGUUCCUCGAACUGUAUCAUUGGGUGGGUUCAUCUGUGAUAACAACUCUUGAUAACUCUCAGGUACAUAACAAUCAAAACAGAGAACGUAGGUUGAUCAAGAACCCACCUAUUGUUGAUGAGGUGAAGCCAAAGUAUGCCUAUACUUUAUGUUGAUGCAGUUUGACAGCUGUCUUGGUUUUGAAACGGCUUCGUAGGCCUACCUGUGUGAGUUGGCGAUCACAUGUUGUAGCUUUGAAAAGCACGGCUUAGAAACAGAUAGACUUCACAGCUGAGAAGAACAAUGGCUUUGUCUAAAUACGUCACAAGCCAUCAAAUCCUUGCUUACUGCUUCCAUGUUUCCGUAAUUCUUCUCAAAUCUCAUUGGAGGUGUGGAUCUACGGUUCCUCCUCUCGAGAACUUCUCUUACCAAUGAACUUUGAGAGGAAUUGAGGAAACAAGGACAGUUGGGGGGAAGAAGUAUUUGACGGCUAGUAAUGUUUUGAGACGCAGCCAUCGCCAGACUGUCCAUCAUCAGCAUGAAAAGCUAUAAGAGAUAAUAAAAAUAAAAAAACAUUUCCAAAAAGGGCUAAACACUGUGGUGCUCAUAGCUGACACUUAUUAUAUCAUAGGAGGUAAUGACGUUCCAAUGUUGGAGCUCCAAGAUCAUUGGACUAUAUUUCAUAAAUAUGUACUCGAGUUCUAAAGUGUAAGAGUAUAUAAAAAAAAAAAAAGAAUUGAAACAAUGUUUUUUUAUUUUUUAUUUUGGGAUGUUUUACCUCAUGUUGGUGUCAAUGUGUAACUAUGGAAACCACUGUUUUGUUGAUGUGCUUUGAGCUCUUGAGUCUUAAUGAAGAUGAUCCCGUUCUAGAACAGUCCCAAUACACAUUACUACCUCCAAGAAAAGGGCCUACUGUUACCUCAUUUUCAAACUAAACCUGCUCCCAAAUGGCACCCUAUUCCCUAUAUUAGAGCACUCUUUUUGACCAGGGUGUGCACUACUUUUGACCGGAGCAUUUACGGGGACUAGUCCGCUAUAUAGGGAAUAGGGUGCAAUUUGUGACGCGAGCUUAAAUAUCUGCUUAGUAAAACUCAGGUGACGAAAGAGAACAGGGAGAACAUCGUAACAUUUUUAUAUAUAUAUAUAGUUUAUUUUUGUCGGGGGAUAAAUUUUAUAAGACUGUUCUUCUCUGCCUCUUAGUCACCACUAGGUAAGACUGGACAUGUAAUUUUUUAUUUUAAAGAACAUUUUCUGACAUUAUGCAAUGUUACGUAGUUAUAUUAAUCUGUGGAGGGGAGAGGCGGGAAGAGGCGUCUCCCUCAGUAGAACGUCAUGUUUUCUAUCUAACUUGUAUCGCUUCCUCUCUAUCCACCUAGUAUCGCUGUCUUCAAUUACACAUCCAAAUUGCUUGUUUGAUAUACAAAACAAACCCAACUUAUCUUAAUAGAUAUUCACAGCCUUGUUUCAGCACAAUAAAAAAAAAAUAUGGCUUCUG